AGCUUGCUGUUUCGCUGACGAGUGGCGGACGGGUGAGUAAUGUCUGGGAAACUGCCUGAUGGAGGGGGAUAACUACUGGAAACGGUAGCUAAUACCGCAUAACGUCGCAAGACCAAAGAGGGGGACCCUCGGGCCUCUUGCCAUCGGAUGUGCCCAGAUGGGAUUAGCUUGUUGGUGGGGUAACGGCUCACCAAGGCGACGAUCCCUAGCUGGUCUGAGAGGAUGACCAGCCACACUGGAACUGAGACACGGUCCAGACUCCUACGGGAGGCAGCAGUGGGGAAUAUUGCACAAUGGGCGCAAGC
rnacentral:rRNA from 1 species